AUAAAUAAGCUUACCAUCAGUAUUCUCUAUUUUUAACACAAACAGAGAGCCUUAACAUUUGUUAGCACUGUUAACUCUGAAGUCUCCUCCUUAUCCACUUUACAACAAAGUCAAACUGAUUAUUAUACACUUACGCGUUUUCCUUCUUUUCUUCUUCAUCAUCAUCAUCAUCAUAAUUUCCUCGUCUCUUCUUCGAUGAAUGAAGCAAGGAUACUGCUACUAAGACAUGUUGUUCUCAUGGAGGUCCUUGCUCCUGCAACCAUUUCGGGCUCUGCUGGGUCGUUUUUCGUUUUCCAAUUCUGGCCAGCGAGGUACAACUUUUUCUGGUCCUUCCAUUGAUUCCAGUGGAGUGCAUGGCUAUAAAUACGAUGUGUUUAUCAGUUUCAGAGGCGCUGACACCCGUAACACUUUUGUUGAUCAUCUUUAUGCUCAUCUAACUAGAAAGGGUGUUUUCGCCUUCAAGGAUGAUAAAAGGCUAGAGAAAGGAGAAUGCUUUUCAACGCAACAUCGACAAGCAAUUACAAAUUCACGGAUUUCUAUUGUUGUCUUCUCAGAAAGAUAUGCUGAGUCAACAUGGUGUUUGGAAGAAAUGGCUACCAUUGUUGAAAGAUGUAACGAUUUGCAACGAAUAGUUUUCCCUGUUUUUUAUGAUAUUGAUCCAUCUCAUGUACGAAAAGAGAAUGGUGUGUACCAGAAUGCCUUUGUUUCACACAGAAAUAAAUUUAAACAUUAUCCGUGUAAGGUUGAGAGAUGGACAAGAGCUAUGGUCAAUUUAGCUAUGGUCAAUGCUUAAUAAUUAUGAUAGUGCCUCUAAUGGAAGAAUUUGGGUCUCUUGGAAUCCAAAUGUAUUGGAUCUCAAACCUGUUGCUUCUAGUGCUCAAGCCAUUCAUUGUGAAGUUGUUAAUCUAACUUCAAAUAAGUGUUUCAAUUUUGUAGCUGUGUAUGCUUUUAAUACCUUGGAACUUUAAUAAUGUGUUGACGGUUGAUGAUAGGCUUAAUGGUAAUCCAGUGACUGAACAUGAUAUUCAAGAUUUUUCCGAAUGUCUGCUCCAUAAUAAGCUAUCGGAAGUGAGAACAAUCGGAGAUCAUUAUACAUGGUGUAAUAACCAAGCUAGUGGAGAUAGAAUCUAUUAUAAGAUAGACAGAUUUAUUGCUAACACUAGUUGGCUGCAAAGGUUCAACAAUGCACUGGGUGAAGUUCUUCCUAAAGGAGUAUCUGAUCACUGUCCUAUAUGAGAAAUAGGGUCAGAAUUUGCAUACUAAUCUCUUGACUAAUAUAUGGUUCAAGUUGAAAGCCUUGAAAAAAGAUCUAAAAGAGUUAAAUUCUACACAUUUUCAAGGUACUACCAAAAAAGUUGAAGAUGCUAGAACUGCUUUAGUUGAUGUCCAAAGGCAGCUUAGUUCAGAUCCGAUGAAUCUUGAUCUCAUUGAAGCUGAAAAAGUUUGUUUGUCCUCUCUUAAAAAGUGGAGUACUAUAGAGGAGCAGAUAUGGAUCUAGAAAUCUAGAGCUAAUUGGAUUCAGCUUGGGGACUCAACACAAAAUUUUUCCAUGCCUUUGCAAAGGAAAGAAGAUGUCAGAAUAUCAUUAAGUUCCUCAUAACAGAAGAUGGCACCAAAAUUGACAAGCAUAACCUCAUCAAGGAGGAGAUUAGAGGGUUCUAUUUAAAAUUGAUGGGUAGUUCUGUUGAUUCGUUACCUAUGGUGGACAAAAAUAUCGUCAAGAGAGGUCCUAUGUUAUCUCAGCAUCAGCAAGACUUGUUGUGCUCAGAGUUCACAACCAUGGAGGUCAAAAAUGCGUUAUUCUCCAUGGAUUCUUCUAAGGCUCCAGGUAUUGAUGGUUACAGUGUUCGUUUCUUUAAAUGCUCUUGGAACAUUAUUGGUGAUAGUGUCAUUGAUGCUAUAUUAGAAUUCUUUAAGACUGGUUUCAUGCCUAAUAUUAUCAACUAUACUUAUGUGACUUUGCUACCCAAAGAAGCUAAUGAUACAUCAGUUAAGAAUUUUAGGCCCAUUGCCUGUUGUUCAGUGAUAUAUAAGAUUAUUUCCAAAAUUCUAACAAGUUGAAUGCAAGGAGUCUUAAAUAGUGUUGUUAGUGAAAAUCAAUAUGCUUUUUGUCAAAGGAAGGGUGAUUUUUGACAAUAUUAUUUUAAGCCAUGAACUAGUCAAAAGUUAUAGUAGGAAAGGGAUUUCUCCAAGGUGCAUGGUGAAAAUUGAUCUUCAGAAGGCUUAUUAUUCAGUUGAAUGACCGUUUAUAAACUAUUUAAUGCUUGAGAUGGGUUUUCCAUGCAAGUUUGUAAAUUAGGCGAUGGCUUGUCUUACUACUACCUCCUAUACAUACAAUGUUAAUGGAGAUUUGACUAGACCUUUUGCUGCCAAGAAGGGUCUUAGACAAGGAGACCUAUCUCUCCAUAUCUCUAUGUGAUAUGUAUGGAAUAUCUUAACAGAUGCCUUUUACAGCUUAGGAAAAAUGUUGCUUUCCACUUCCACCCAAGAUGUAAAAGGUUGAAUUUAAUUCAUGUGUGUUUUGCUGAUGA